UCCAGGUGGCUGGCCCGGCUCUGGAACAUAGUGGAGGUCCUUCACAUGGAGUAGGCUAUCGUCGCCUGGCUCUGGAACAGAGUGGUGGUCCUUCACGUGGAGUAGGCCAUCGUCUCCCGGCUCUGGAACAUAGUGGAGGUCCUUCACUUGGAGUAGGCCAUCGUCUCCUGACACUGGGCAUCACCUAGCAAACACCGCCUGAGCUCGGGCCAGUGAGCAGUGGUCAAGGCUGCUCUCAGUAUCCUGGUCAACAAAGCCGUCCUGCAAGGAUGCCCUCUGCCACGGCACGGUGGGUACACACUACACUAAUGCCUGAAUUAAACUAUAGGGCCGACCCGACCUGUAAUGGCUCAGCUAGUUUCUUUUCACAUUGUCCUUUCCAGCACGGGUCCAGCAACUAUGGUAGAUGCGUUACCAGGCCAGCUCAGUACAGCUCAGCUUGCUUGGAUCGGUUUGGCCCUAUAGUGUUUAUCUGGGUUGAAUAUGUGUUUGUCUUAUGUAUUUUGGAUUGAUGGAUGAUAGGUAGACUGCUUGUUUGUCUGGUUGGGAGGAAGGUAGAUUGGUAGUUGUAUAGGUGGAUAGAGAGAAUAGUUUAAUAGUCCUAAAUGUCCAUGUGUUUCCCUCCUCAUCAGAGAUUAACAGGCACCUGUUGAAGUUCCGAGGUGGGACCUUCCCUCUCUCAACCAUUGGCUCCUGUAAAGGGGGCGGCGGCAGGAAGGGGUAGGACAGUAGCAUGUGGAGAUGAGCCAAUUACCAGCCCACGAAAGAAUGGGAAACCCCGCCUCCAACUGGAGCUGUGGAGAUUCUCUCAGAGAAGGUAGGAUGAAUCAGUGUUUUUCACUACUGUUGUAAAGUUUAAUUUAGUUUGAAUAGCCAUAAUGGUUAUUCAUGUUGUCCUUGUCUUGCCUGCAGGGUCAUUGUCCAGCACUGAUGUCCUCUUCAUCACCAACGGCAAUACUCCGAGUGUUGUAGAUGGGGACCAUGUGAGUCUGUCUCUGUGUUAUUACAACAAGACUGAUCUGAUCAGGGAGUUACAGACCAUGUGCUCCAGGAAGUCAGACAUNNNNNNNNNNGUGUGUGUGUGUGUGUGUGUGUGUGUGUGUGUCUGUCUGUUUGUCUUCAUAUGUCUAUGUGUCUGCAAAUGA
rnacentral:lncRNA from 13 species